rnacentral:rRNA from 1 species
ACUACUAUGUGUGAAUCAUCGAAUCUUUGAACGCACCUUGCACUUUAGGAGUCCAUUCUAAAGUAUACCUGUUUGAGUAUCAUUUACCUAUAUCCAAUUUUAUUGGGAAUUGAGGGUUCAGGGGGAACUACGCCGCCUGUCUCUUUAAAUGUAGUAGGGUAUCAAGGAUAAGCGCGCCUUUAUCUUAUUAUGAGGAUAUUUACUCUAGCAGUAAAGCAAUCAUAAAAAUAAAGGAAGGCGAUAUCCAUAAAACUUGGACCCUUAACAAAAUUUCUGCUUUGCAGCAGCAAUACUUUGUACAACUGUGAUCUCAAAUCAGGCAAGACUACCCGCUGAACUUAAGCAUAUCAAUAAGCGGAGG